rnacentral:rRNA from 1 species
CCGGUUGAUCCUGCCGGACCCCACUGCUAUCGGGAUAGGACUAAGACAUGCUAGUCGAGCGCCUCCCAGCCACGACGGAGGCGCGGCGCACAGCUCAGUAACACGUGGCUAACCUGCCCUCGGGACGGGAAUACCCCCGGGAAACUGGGGCUAAUCCUCGAUAGGUGAAGAACUCUGGAAUGAGUCUCCGCCCAAAAGACGCUUAAAUCAUGCUUUUAGGCGCCGCCCAAGGAUGGGGCCGCGACCGAUCAGGUAGUUGGUGAGGCAACGGCUCACCAAGCCUUUAACCGGUGCGGGCCGUGGGAGCGGGAGCCCGGAGAUGGGCACUGAGACAAGGGCCCAGGCCCUACGGGGCGCAGCAGUCGCGAAAACUUUGCAAUACACGAAAGUGUGACAGGGCUAUCCCGAGUGCCAUCCGCUGAGGAAGGCUUUUACCCAGUCUAGAAAGCUGGGAGAAUAAGGAGAGGGCAAGUCUGGUGUCAGCCGCCGCGGUAAUACCAGCUCUCCGAGUGGUGUGGAUGUUUAUUGGGCCUAAAGCAUCCGUAGCUGGCCAAGUUAGUCCCCUGUUAAACCCACCGAAUUAAUCGUUGGAGUGCGGGGGAUACUGCUCGGCUAGGGGACGAGAGAGGCCGACGGUAUUUCCGGGGUAGGGGUGAAAUCCUAUAAUCCCGGGAGGACCACCAGUGGCGAAGGCUGUCGGCUAGAACGCGCCCGACGGUGAGGGAUGAAAGCUGGGGGAGCGAACCGGAUUAGAUACCCGGGUAGUCCCAGCUGUAAACGAUGCAGGCUAGGUGUUUGGGCGGCCACGGGCCGCUCUAGUGCCGCAGGGAAGCCGUUAAGCCUGCCGCCUGGGGAGUACGGUCGCAAGGCUGAAACUUAAAGGAAUUGGCGGGAAGGGCG